CCUAAUUAUUUAGAUAUCACUAGACAUAGUUAAAGAGUACUCAGUACUCUCUUGUAUCUUUGCCGCCUUGUGUGAUGUUUCUUUUGAGGUGGAAUCGGCACUUUGCAAUCUUCAAGCUCCAUCCUUGGUUGUUGUUAGAAUGACUCUGUGUAUCUUCUUCCUUAGCCUCCGGUGAGUCCAUUCUUUUCAUUUCCUUCUCGCCAUGUUUGUUGUCUCCAGGUGGUGGAUUGAAAUUGAAGCUGACGGUGGUGGUGGGACGCCAAACAACCCCUCUUUUUGAUGAAGCUUUUUGGUAGCUAGGGGAGCUAGCUAGGUAUGUAACUAUUGAUCCCUUUUAUGGUUCUCUAUAUUGUGUGAAUGUAUCUUCUUCCUUCCCCUGCUUUUCUGAUUCAUUGCCUGCUUAUUUUCCGUGUCCUAAUCCUAAGGUUAAGAAUCUGAGCCUUGUCCAUGUUUAUAUGUUUCCUUAUAUUUGCUGGUAGCUCGUAAAAACUGUGAUAUUCCUUUGUGUCUUGUGUGUCUAGAACUUCAUUAGCUAAUGAAUCUGCCACUGUGUUUCCUUCUCUAAAGAUAUGCUUUAUGUUUCCUUGUAUUAGUUGCAUUUGGACCCUUAUGCCUUCUAUUAUCUCUAUAAGUUCCCAUGGCACCUUCUAUUCCCUCUCAAUCAUCCUUUUCAGCGUAAUGGAAUCUGUUUCAAUUAUUACUUCCUAUAGAUUAAUGGACUGACAAAACCCCAAAGCUUCCUUAAUAGCCAUAGAUUCUGCUUCUGUAUUAGUGGCUAUACCUAUUCCUAUGGCAGCAGCAUAUAUCAAAUCUCCAAACUCAUUCCUUACACAGAAAGCAAGUGCACUCUUUCCAGGAUUUCCCCUACACGCCCCAUCAGUAUUACAUUUCAGCCUAUCCGUUGCUGGAAAUUUCCAAGUAACAUAAUAAUAGUGUAAUCUUGGUUUGUAUUCCUUUAAUAAGGUAACCAUGUGAGGCCAAUCCUCCUUUCCUAUCUUCAUCCAAGGGUAUAAGCUUUUGAGUAGUUUCCUAAGCAUGUCUUGUACUUGCCAUAUCAUGUUAUUCAAAGUCACAUUUCCUCCAUGCUUGAUACUAUUUCUCCUUUUCCAUAUAAUCCACAUUAUGAGUGCUGGCAUUGCUUUGUAUACUGACUCCAGCUUUGGUGUUGUGUGAAUAUUCCACCAAGUAUUUAUGAGUUGUUUCAAAUUCAUGUCUUCUAUGUCAAUGCCUGCAAAAAUAGCAAACUGCCUCCAUAGCUUAGUAGCUAUGGGUGCUGUAGAAAUAGAUGAGUCAUGGUUUCUUCUGUCUUUUCGUCACAACACCAACAUCUAGAUACAAUAUUUAUCUUCAUUUUUUUCAAAUUGUCAUCUGUGGCAAUCUUCCUUCUCCAAGCCUUCCAUAAGAAAAAAUUAACUUUGAAUGGAACUCUCUUUGCCCAGAUUUUGUUAUUUUCUUCCUUCUUUUCUCUUCUCUGUCUCAACAGUUCCCAGGCUGAUUUCACAGUGAAGUUGCCUUAGGUAUUCCCCAUCCACCAAGGUAUAUCAUUACUUUGCCAAUCAGCUGGUGGAACUAUAUUCUCCACAAUAUGUACUGUCAUUUCUUCAGAUAGCUUAUCCCUCAGUUUCUGUCUAUCCCAUUCUCAUCCCCUUGUAAAAUCCCUGACUUCUAGUUCUUCUUCUCUUGCACCUUCACCUUCUAUUUAAUAUAAAGCCCCUUGUCUAGUCCAGUUAUCAAACCAAAAGCUGGAAUUUUCUGAUUUUAUUUGCCACCAUAUGUUAUGCUCUAUUUCCUCUUUUACUGCUUGCAUUUUUCUCCAAACGUGUGAAGCACCAUAUCCCUUAGCCGUGAUAGGAUGUAAUUUUUUGCAAUAUUUGUUCCACAUGUAUUCACCCCACAUGGAUGAUGUAGAAGUUCUGAAAUUCCACCAAAGCUUAGCAAAUAAAGCAUUAGACACUACAUUUAGAGAUCUGAGACCAAUUCCUCCCUCCUCCUUCGGAUAACACAUAUUUUUCCAUGAUACCCAAUGUUUGUUUCUAGAUCCUGUAGCAUUUUCCCAAAAGAAUUUAGCAAAAAUUCUAUGAAGUUGCUCAAUCACACCAGUUGGAGGGUUCAUAGCUGAGAGUAGAUACACUGGCAUGGAUUGCAGUACAUGUGUGAUCAAUAUAUAUCUGCCCCCAAAUGAUAACAACUUAUUUUGCCAUAUAUUAAGCCGUUUCAUCACCUUCUUGAUCAAUUCUUCAAAAUGGCUUUUAUUCUUCCUACCAUAAAAUACAGGGCAACCUAGGUAUAUAAAUGGAAAAUUGCCUUGUUUGAUGCUGGUUAUCCUCUUAAUUCAAUUGCACACUCUCACUGAUGUCUUUUCAUGAAGAUAAAAUAAGCUCUUGUCUAGAUUGAUCAUCUGUCCGGACUCCAUUUCAUAAUCUCGCAGUACCUUCAUCAUUUUCUUCAUUGAUCCUCCAUGUCCCGAACAAAAUAGUAUGGUAUCAUCAGCAUAUGAAAGAUGGUUUAUUCUUGGGCUCCACUUAGGCAUGCCAUAGCCUAUGAAAUCCUGUUCUUCAUAUAAAUUAUUUAGAUUCCUUGUCAAAACUUCUGCAGCAAUUAUGAAGAGUGUGGGCGAUAAAGGAUCUCCUUGUUUUAGACCUCUGGAUGAUUGGAAAAAACCAUAUGACUGCCCAUUCAUCAAAACUGAAUACCAGUUGCUACUUAUUAAUCGCACAAUCAUAUCAAUAAUCCGUUAUGAGAAACCAAAGCUUCUUAGCACCCUUACAAGGAACUUCCACGACACUCUAUCGUAUGUCUUUGCCAUAUCAAGCUUGACCACUACAUUAUGCAACUUAUUUCUCAUGCUAAUAUCUCUGAUUAUCUCUUGUGCAAGCAAUACAUUCUCAUUGAUGCUCCUUCCCUUCACAAAGCCUGACUGAUUAAGAGAGAUAAUUUUGGGCAACACUUUCACCAUUCUUUCAUGCAUCAGUCAUGAUAUAAUCUUGUUUGUGAAUUUACUUAAGCUAAUAGGCCUCAGGUCUCCAAAUGUCUUUACCUCCUCCUUCUUUGGAAUAAGCACCAGGUUGGUAUGAGUAACAUACGUUGGUAACUCUUGUCCACAAAAGAAAGCCUUCACCAUGUUUGUAAUAUCAUUACCAAUUAUUUCCUAACAAGAUUGGAAGAAUUGACUCGAGAAACCAUCAUGUCCACUUGCACUAUCUCUAUUUAAUGAGAAGACCACCUGUUUCACUUCCUCUUUGGAUGGCAUUUGUACCAUCCCCUCAUUCUCCCCUUUCGUGAUUAAUUUAGGUAUACACUGGAUCAAUUCCAAUGUGCUCUCUUCAGAGGUCUCCCUGAACUGUUCCUUAAACACUUUGACUGCUUCUUCUCCUAUAUGCUGCGGAUUAUUUAUUACAUCUCCCCGUGCUGUCUGAAUUUCCUUGACCUGAAGCUUUCUCCUUCUUCCUUUCACAUAAGCAUGAAAGAAUUUUGUGUUGUUAUCUCCAUCUGUGAACCAUUUCAUACCUGAUUUCUGCUUCCAGUAUUCUUCUUCAAUAUGAAGGUAGCUCUUCAAGUCUGCCUCCACCUUGUUGAGUGAGCUCCUGUCAGCAAUAGGCGAGAUUUCGAAUUAUACUUCCUUUGCCUUCACCACAUCUUCUAAUAUGGCAAUUUUCUAGAAAAUAUUCCCAAAGGUCUUCUUGCUCCAUUUUGACAAUGCAGUUUUGGUCCUCUUCAACUUGGCAUGGACUAUAUAGAAUGGAGAUCCUGUUAUUUCUUCAAACCAACUUUCCUCGACUAUCUUCAUGAAUUCAUGAUGUUUAGUCCAAAAGUUCAGGAAUCGAAAUGGUUUUACCACCUGUUCCUGAGAAUCAUUACCAAGCACAUGUAAUGGAGCAUGGUCAGAACCCUGUCUAAUUAAAUGAUGCACCUCACUAUUAGGUAGUAAUUGCAUGAAUUCAUUGUUUCCCAAGACUUUAUCCAGUCGCUUAAAGAUACAAUCAUUUUCAAUUUGUCCAUUCCACCAAGUGUAGCAACUACCUACGAAUUUCAACUCAUUUAAUGCGCAAGCACUAAUACAAGCAGCAAAGUCAGUUGUUUCCUACAGCGUUACUGGCAAACCACCUAGCUUCUCUGACUCAUCUACAAUUGUAUUGAAAUCACCGCCUACCAACCAAGGACUACUAGAUUGAGCAGCAAUAUGCUCUAAAUCAUCCCAUAAUUCUAGUCUGUCUAGGGCACUACAUCGUGCAUAUACAGCCGUUACCCUAAAACACGCAUCCCUACCUCUGAGUUGGAAUUGCACUGUUAAUUGUUGCAUAGUGUCUGCUGAACCUUUCUCCACCCAAUUAUCUUCCCAGAAGACCCAAUUUUUUUAUGAACUAUUCACCCUAGCAUUAGGAAGACCUAACUUCCUCCUAUAAGCUUCCAAUUCACUCGGGCUUUGAAAAGGUUCUAAUAAAGCAAUGUAUGAGUAAUGAUGUCUUUUAUGCAGAUCAACUAGUCGCUCAAAAGAUUUUUGAGUCCUAACAGACCUGAUAUUCCAAAAUAUGGCCUUAUUAAUCAUUAAUCAGAUGUAAAAAACGACCCCUUCUUAUUCCUUGUAUUUAUUUGUGAUUAAGGUAGAACCUGCCUUAUACUUUUCUGCAUUUUGCUUUUAAGAUUAUCAAUUUGUCGUGGUGACAGAUCUCCAUUUUUACUCACAUAAUCUACAUUAGCAUCAAUACUUUCAUCCUCCUCUGAAUUUUGCUUAUCACUGAGUUCCUGCGCUGUAGAUGUUUUUAUUUUGGGUACCUCUUUAUCUUCUUUUUCAUUAAUCAGUUCCACAAUCAGUCCCACUUCAUCUCUUGAAAGUGUAAGCACUGCUUCAGUGUCAACCUCCUCACUCUCAUGCAGUUGGUCAAGUUCUUUUUCUGGAGUAUCUUCUGAUUGCUCAGAUUCUUUUGCUAGAUCACCAUUGUUAUUCAUUGAACUCUGGGCGUUAUGUUGUUUGCUUUUAUUAUUGGAUCCUCUGGAUUGUUCUCCUAUACUUUCUACCUGUUCAUGCUCCACUUGAUGGUGUUCCUGUCCUUUCUCUUAAUCACUCCCCUCUAACCCUUGAUCUGCAUUUUCCUUCGUUGUCUUAUCUUCUAGUGCCUCAAAUUUGUUACAUGUUAUUGUCACAUGUUCUUGUAUUUGUGGCUUAGGAUUCCAUCGUUGCUCCACCCUACUCUUGUAUGGUUGUCGUCCCCCAUUGUGAUAAUUUUUCCUUCUCUGCUCCUGGAAACUUACCUCUUCCACUUCUUUUGUUUUUUCGCAAUCCUCCUUAGUUGUUCCUUCAACCCCUCUCAUUUGUGAUUUAUUUGUUAUGUCCCUAUUUGCACCCUCAUUCUUCGUAUUGUCUGACGUCCUUUCUUCUUUGUUCUCCUCUUUUGGGUAAAGUUCUGGAUGGAUGAUAAAACAUUCAUUUAUCAUUAUGCCCUUGAAGCUUACAAGACUUGCAAUACUUAGGCACAUAGUCAUAAUUGAUGUGUAUCCACCUCUCCUUCACUUCUCCCGUUUUCAUCCUCAUACCAAGAUUGAUUCUUUUUGGAAAUUCCCCGAGUAGAUUAACUUCUACUUUUACCCUUGCACAACUCAGUCUAGUUUUAUUCUGGGUAGCCAAGUCCACUUGCAAUGGUUUGCCAACUGCCGAUGCUAAAGAGAACACCGCUUCUUUUCCAAAAAAAAUUGGUGGCAAUGCUGGAAAGGAUAUCGAGGCUAUUGCCGUUGAUGUCUCCUCCUUUGGAUCAAAACAAGGAUCCCACUUAAGUGUCCGCAUUGGAUAGGACCAAUGAUUAUGCGUAAUAUAAAAUUGCGGCUUGGAUAAGAGAUUCACAUAAUCAUCCAAUCUUGUUGCCCUAAUCAGAAUAUAUCUAUUGCUUAGCAGCCCAAUGUUUACCUCCCCUUUUAGCUCGCAUUGUUUCGGAAUUAGUCGUCUUAGAUCUUGAAUAUCAGGCCACCCGUACGAAAAUUUUGCUACUACAGCAUACUGCAGAUCUUCAUUGAUAAUCAUCUGAUUCACCUCUUCUUCUUCCCAUACUAUCUUUGGCUCCCCAUGUAAAUAAGCUAUUUGUUUCAGUGGAAUAGGUUUGUAUUGGGGUUGAAUAGGUUUUAAUGUGUUUGCAUAAGUCUUCUUCAAAGGAUCCUCUGUUAUCAAUUGUGCAGUUGGCACAGCCUCCACCGGAGGAGACUGGCCAACGGCCAGCAAGGCCAUGACUCCGAUGGUUGUUAUGAAUUAGGUUUCUGACGGCAGGGUUUUUUCCGGCCAAUGGUAUGAACUUUGUAGGAUACUCAAUUCUCAAAAAUAGCAUUGUGGUAAAUUUUCUCUUCUCAAUUGUUAAACCGUAUUGUUUUGAAGGUGGCAGGGACAUUAGUCAACUCAAAAGAUAUCACUAGGAACUCCUCAUGACCAUAACAAGUCCUAAAUGCAGUCUUAGGUUUGUCUGUUUCCCUAAUCCUCAGUUGAUGGUAACCGAAUAUCAAAUCAAUCUUAAAAAAC
rnacentral:lncRNA from 1 species